CGGGCCUGGUGCGCGCCACUGCAGCGCCCUCUCGCCGGGGCAUCGCCGGGGCCUCCUCGCCAGGGCCACGGCGCUGUUCAUGGUCUUCUGCUUCGCCACCCCGUCGGGCGCCGCGCUGCCGGACCUGCUGCGUGCCGCGGGCCUCAUCUUCGAUCUGCAGACUAGCUUGCUGGAGGGAUCAACAGACAAAUAUAUGAGCCGCUGAAGCUCCGCUUGGACGCCGUGCAGGGAGGUUGUUUCACCGUCCUCGACUCGUUCACUUCGCCGCACGCUGUCGUCGAGCUGCACCGACACGCGUGUCACCACACGCCCGUAGGUGAUUGAAGAAAGAUGCCGGGCGGCGGACUUCAACGAUCGGUCGCCUCACUGUACAGAAGAAUGAUGCCACACUCGGAUGCUGGUGAGAGCUCCGAUAGGAGUUCCGGGUUGGGGCGAGGCAAGGGUCAAGGGAAGGGUGGACCCAAGAGGGGUCGAGGGAAGGGUGGAGGCAGGAGGCGUCUAGAGCCUUCGCCUGUACCGCCGUCUCAGGAGGAGGAGGAGCCUGCCCAGGACCAGGAGCAGGAGCGGGAGGGGGAG